rnacentral:rRNA from 1 species
UACGUAGGGCGCGAGCGUUGUCCGGAAUUAUUGGGCGUAAAGAGCUCGUAGGCGGCUUGUCACGUCGGGUGUGAAAACCCGGGGCUCAACUCCGGGCCUGCAUUCGAUACGGGCGGACUAGAGUUCGGUAGGGGAGACUGGAAUUCCUGGUGUAGCGGUGAAAUGCGCAGAUAUCAGGAGGAACACCGGUGGCGAAGGCGGGUCUCUGGGCCGAUACUGACGCUGAGGAGCGAAAGCGUGGGGAGCGAACAGG